CCUACGGUGAGCUGCAGUGAGGAAUAUUGGUCAAUGGACGGAAGUCUGCACCAGCCAUGCCGCAUGCAGGAAGACGGCUCUAUGAGUUGUAAACUGCUUUUGUACAAGGGUAAACCUGAAUACGUGUAUUCAGCUGAACGUACUUUCCGAAUAAGGAUCGGCUAACUCCGUGCCAGCAGCCGCGGUAAUACGGAGGAUCCAAGCGUUAUCCGGAUUUAUUUGGUUUAAAGGGUGCGUAGGCGGAUUGAUAAGUUAGAGGUGAAAUGUCCGAGCUUAACUCGGGAACUGCCUCUAAUACUGUUGAUCUAGAGAGUAGAUGCGGUAGGCGGAAUGUAUGGUGUAGCGGUGAAAUGCUUAGAGAUCAUACAGAACACCGAUUGCGAAGGCAGCUUACCAAUCUAUAUCUGACGUUGAGGCACGAAAGCGUGGGGAGCAAACAGGAUUAGAUACCCCAGUAGUC
rnacentral:rRNA from 1 species